rnacentral:rRNA from 1 species
UACGUAGGGUGCGAGCGUUGUCCGGAAUUAUUGGGCGUAAAGGGCUCGUAGGCGGUUUGUUGCGUCGGGAGUGAAAACACUGGGCUUAACCGAGUGCUUGCUUUCGAUACGGGCAGACUUGAGGCAUUGAGGGGAGAACGGAAUUCCUGGUGUAGCGGUGAAAUGCGCAGAUAUCAGGAGGAACACCGGUGGCGAAGGCGGUUCUCUGGCAAUGUUCUGACGCUGAGGAGCGAAAGUGUGGGGAGCGAACAGG